rnacentral:misc_RNA from 1 species
CACCCAUCAAAUGUGCAUUUCUGAGACUGAGAGGACGACCUUGACUCUGGGCGAUCAUGUGGCUGCGGACAGCGGAAGGAAGUCCUCAACCGGGAAUUUGCUACACCAAUCCAUUCACUGCACUACUGGCAUUGAACAGCCAGGGAUGCUACAUAUUAGGGGCCUUCAAUCAUCCAAAAAGCUGAUGGUAUACUCACGAAAAAGGUUCAACAGUAGGGACAAGUCUGGAAAUAUGAAUGAAGAAGGGAGUGGGCCAAUCGCUUCUGUACUGAGGAUUGAUACUGAUGAAAAUACAGUGUCCACGGUGCGAGAGGUCAGCCUAGCUGUUACUACUGAUGGUAGUCAGUCAACUUCGCAAGAGACCCAAACAGGCAGUACGCAGCUCAAGAACAAACAAUUCCUUAGCAAGCUCUCCAAAAAGAUUUCAGGCCUCCUUG